rnacentral:rRNA from 1 species
UACGUAGGCAGCAAGCGUUGUUCGGAAUUACUGGGCGUAAAGAGUGUGUAGGCGGUGCUCCAAGUCUGGUGUGAAAUCUCCCGGCUCAACUGGGAGGGUGCGCCGGAAACUGGAGUGCUCGAGGGUGGGAGAGGAAAGCGGAAUUCCUGGUGUAGCGGUGAAAUGCGUAGAUAUCAGGAGGAACACCCGUGGUGUAGACAGCUUUCUGGACCACUUCUGACGCUGAGACACGAAAGCGUGGGUAGCAAAC